rfam:Strongylocentrotus purpuratus Contig40716_fixed, whole genome shotgun sequence.
CCAAUAGUCCUUUUCAGGACUACACACACCCAAGAAAGAAAGAUU